AAGAAUUUGCAAAACACCAGCAUGCAAGCAAAGGAACUGAGCAUCAUUGAGACUAUGUGUGCAGUAGAGAUCCAAAGAGCUUUGGGUUUUUCAAAGAAACGAGAGUCGGGGGCCCCUGAGAAGUGUACGCAUGCCAUGAAUGCCCCUUCUGUUUGUCAGCUCUGCAGCAGUGUCAAAGAAGCUCCUAUCUCUGACAGGCAGACCUGACAGACAGCAUUGUUCAUUCGGUUUUUAUUCAAUAUAAGGGUCACAGAUCCCAGUGUCAGGAUAAAGUAAGACUAAGUAAGUGUCUGAUUGAUCCUGCACUUCUAGGACAUGGCAGUCUGUGAUGUGGGUACUAGAUGUAAUUCAGAUUUUGCAAGCAUGGGAUAAAGACUCUGAAAUGAAGUUGAAAGAUAGGAAUUGUUUGUUAGGGUGGAGGCAAGCCACAGUAAGGAUUUAAAUCUAUUUCUACAUAUAAAAUAUGUGGCCUGCAUACAGUUCCUAAUUUUCAUUUUUAUUUUCUAUGACAUCUUGCCAAGUUGAGGGAACAGUAGUGAGACAAACUGAUGCCAUAGAGCCUGUGAAAAAAGGAAGGUCAUUUUACUUUUCAGGAGUGAAAAGUGCAGGAAGGCUAGGGGAGGCAGAAAAUGACUCAAUUUAACUAUGGUGCUUUCUGGUUGUGCGGACAUCAUUCGGAAACAUCACCACAAUGAAAUAUAGGUCUUUGUUCUCUGUCUGUGAAGGAAUUCUGUCUUCCCUGAAGAUGGAGGCAAAAUUCAAGAGGUACUGGACUGCACCUGAGGAUUGCUUUGUCUACAGCAAAAGCAUGAGCAAAUGAUGUCCAGGAUCUGUGUCUCUCCUUACACCAUCAAGACUGCAGGGACACUGGGGCCAGCUGGCAUUUGCUAAAGCUACAUGAAACGCAAAUGGAUAUACAGAAGAAUGCUUUCAUUUGUAGUUACGUCAAGUGGAGAUGUAACACUAGAAACAUAAGGAUGUUUGUUGAUGCAAGGACCACCAGGCACUGAGCACUGGAAUUUUGCUCAAAGGAAGCAAGCCAGAUGGGAAGAGAAAAGAAAUCCCCAGCUUUCAAGUGUCACAUCAUCACAGGCAAUAAGUCCAUGAGUGUUGUAGAUGACUGGAAUAAUCCUCUGCAUGGGAAGUCUCCUAAGGAAAAGGGAUUUCACUUGGUACUAUUAUAGUUGCCUUGGUUUAAAGCAGAGAUGAAUUCAGGACUGUAAAUUUUAUGCUAAUGGUCUUUGUCCUCCAGUCAAUACAGAAGGAACAGAUUGGAUUAUCA
rnacentral:lncRNA from 1 species